rnacentral:snRNA from 1 species
GUGCUCUCUUUGGCAGCACAUAUACUAAAUUGGAAUGAUACAGAGAUUAGCCUGCUCCUGCUCAAGAAUGACAUGCAAAUUCGUGAAGCGUUCCGUAUUUUU